rnacentral:rRNA from 1 species
GUGGGGAAUUUUGGACAAUGGGCGCAAGCCUGAUCCAGCAAUGCCGCGUGCAGGAAGAAGGCCUUCGGGUUGUAAACUGCUUUUGUACGGAACGAAACGGCUCUGGUUAAUACCCGGGGCUAAUGACGGUACCGUAAGAAUAAGCACCGGCUAACUACGUGCCAGCAGCCGCGGUAAUACGUAGGGUGCAAGCGUUAAUCGGAAUUACUGGGCGUAAAGCGUGCGCAGGCGGUUUUGUAAGACAGGCGUGAAAUCCCCGGGCUCAACCUGGGAAUGGCGCUUGUGACUGCAAAGCUGGAGUGCGGCAGAGGGGGAUGGAAUUCCGCGUGUAGCAGUGAAAUGCGUAGAUAUGCGGAGGAACACCGAUGGCGAAGGCAAUCCCCUGGGCCUGCACUGACGCUCAUGCACGAAAGCGUGGGGAGCAAACAGGAUUAGAUACCCGAGUAGUCC